rnacentral:rRNA from 1 species
GCGUAACACGUGAACAACCUGCCCUCGUGGUGGGGGAUAGCCGGGCUAACGCCCGGGUAAUACCGCAUACGUUUUCUUGGGGGAGUCCCCGAGGAAGGAAAGCUCCGGCGCACGGGGAGGGGUUCGCGGCCUAUCAGCUAGUUGGCGGGGUAAUGGCCCACCAAGGCGACGACGGGUAGCUGGUCUGAGAGGACGGCCAGCCGGAUUGGGACUGAGAUACGGCCCAG